ACUCGCGCCCCCACCCACCCACGCUGCUCUCUUCCCCGAUCCCCUCCCACGAACCCUAGCCUCCUGGUGACGCCGCCCCUUCCUUCCCCCGUUCCCCCCCCCCCGCGCCCACCCCACGCGCCGCGAGCCCCUCCCUCCUCUUCGCGUUCCGGGCGGCCAUGGACGACUCCAUGAGCAGGACCACCGCCGUCGCGGCGCUCGUGGCCGGCGGCGCACUCCACGGGGCUCGGGACAUCCGCGGCGGCGCGGGCUGUGGACCGAGAGGCAGGGCCCGUGAUGCAUUCCGUUCGAGGGGCUGGUCGGGUUGGCGCGGGAUCUGAGCCACCGUCGAUGGAUUUCUCGCAGCUUGGCUCCUGUUGCUUUGGAUUCGGACAUCAUGCCGGCCAACGAGGAUGAUCUGAUCAUGCAGUUCUUGUUUGCUGCCACACAUACUUCGCAGCCUGCCCUAUGGACUGCAGUUUCAUUUUUUAUGGGUUCUUGAGAUAUGUUAUUUGCAGGGAGCAUCCUGAUUUCUACAGUUGCAAUUGUUUUGUUCAUUUCCUUUUUGCCUUCUUGAUUGGCUCAAACAUGCUCAUUGUGAAAGGGCGAGGAGCCGCCGCCAUGUUUCUCCCCGAGCUCCGUGGUAGAAUGGUCUAUUUGUAUCAGAUUGUGUUUAGUGGAUGCGAAGAGCUCAGUUCUGGUAAGCUAGACCCUGAGGCGUGCAACAUGUAUGUGGAGAUUAAGGAACGUGCCCAUGUGAGCGGCUUCGAUUUUGUUGUGCCAAGAUCUCCGGUGGCAGGGAUUCACUUCUUUUUUUGGUGAUAGUCAGGAGGUUAUAUAGUUGAUGUUUCUGAAUUUUAACAAUCAUGUUUUACAGUACCCUUGACAUGAAUGAGAUGACUGGGCUUAAAUGAGAAUAAUGAGAACCAUCCUAUUCUCCGUUGCAA